UUGACCUCAAAUCGGGUGAGACUACCCGCUGAACUUAAGCUAUCAAUGAGCGGAGAAAAGAACUAACAGGAUC
rnacentral:rRNA from 1 species